GACGAACGCUGGCGGCGUGCCUAAUACAUGCAAGUAGAACGCUGAAGGAGGAGCUUGCUCUUCUGGAUGAGUUGCGAACGGGUGAGUAACGCGUAGGUAACCUGCCUGGUAGCGGGGGAUAACUAUUGGAAACGAUAGCUAAUACCGCAUAACAGUAGAUGUUGCAUGACAUUUACUUAAAAGGUGCAAUUGCAUCACUACCAGAUGGACCUGCGUUGUAUUAGCUAGUUGGUGGGGUAACGGCUCACCAAGGCGACGAUACAUAGCCGACCUGAGAGGGUGAUCGGCCACACUGGGACUGAGACACGGCCCAGACUCCUACGGGAGGCAGCAGUAGGGAAUCUUCGGCAAUGGACGGAAGUCUGACCGAGCAACGCCGCGUGAGUGAAGAAGGUUUUCGGAUCGUAAAGCUCUGUUGUAAGAGAAGAACGAGUGUGAGAGUGGAAAGUUCACACUGUGACGGUAUCUGACCAGAAAGGGACGGCUAACUACGUG
rnacentral:rRNA from 1 species